rnacentral:rRNA from 1 species
AGUUUGAUCCUGGCUCAGGACGAACGCUGGCGGCGCGCCUAACACAUGCAAGUCGAACGAGAGAGAGGGAGCUUGCUUCUUCAAUCGAGUGGCGAACGGGUGAGUAACGCGUGAGGAACCUGCCUCAAAGAGGGGGACAACAGUUGGAAACGACUGCUAAUACCGCAUAAGCCCACGGCUCGGCAUCGAGCAGAGGGAAAAGGAGCAAUCCGCUUUGAGAUGGCCUCGCGUCCGAUUAGCUAGUUGGUGAGGUAAUGGCCCACCAAGGCAACGAUCGGUAGCCGGACUGAGAGGUUGAACGGCCACAUUGGGACUGAGACACGGCCCAGACUCCUACGGGAGGCAGCAGUGGGGAAUAUUGCACAAUGGGGGAAACCCUGAUGCAGCGACGCCGCGUGGAGGAAGAAGGUCUUCGGAUUGUAAACUCCUGUUGUUGAGGAAGAUAAUGACGGUACUCAACAAGGAAGUGACGGCUAACUACGUGCCAGCAGCCGCGGUAAAACGUAGGUCACAAGCGUUGUCCGGAAUUACUGGGUGUAAAGGGAGCGCAGGCGGGAAGACAAGUUGGAAGUGAAAUCUAUGGGCUCAACCCAUAAACUGCUUUCAAAACUGUUUUUCUUGAGUAGUGCAGAGGUAGGCGGAAUUCCCGGUGUAGCGGUGGAAUGCGUAGAUAUCGGGAGGAACACCAGUGGCGAAGGCGGCCUACUGGGCACCAACUGACGCUGAGGCUCGAAAGUGUGGGUAGCAAACAGGAUUAGAUACCCUGGUAGUCCACACCGUAAACGAUGAUUACUAGGUGUUGGAGGAUUGACCCCUUCAGUGCCGCAGUUAACACAAUAAGUAAUCCACCUGGGGAGUACGACCGCAAGGUUGAAACUCAAAGGAAUUGACGGGGGCCCGCACAAGCAGUGGAGUAUGUGGUUUAAUUCGACGCAACGCGAAGAACCUUACCAAGUCUUGACAUCCUGCGACGCGCAUAGAAAUAUGUUUUUCCUUCGGGACGCAGAGACAGGUGGUGCAUGGUUGUCGUCAGCUCGUGUCGUGAGAUGUUGGGUUAAGUCCCGCAACGAGCGCAACCCUUAUUGCCAGUUACUACGUUAAGAGGACUCUGGCGAGACUGCCGUUGACAAAACGGAGGAAGGUGGGGAUGACGUCAAAUCAUCAUGCCCUUUAUGACUUGGGCUACACACGUACUACAAUGGCGUUAAACAAAGAGAAGCAAGACCGCGAGGUGGAGCAAAACUCAGAAACAACGUCCCAGUUCGGACUGCAGGCUGCAACUCGCCUGCACGAAGUCGGAAUUGCUAGUAAUCGUGGAUCAGCAUGCCACGGUGAAUACGUUCCCGGGCCUUGCACACACCGCCCGUCA